AAACUAGGAUUAGAUACCCUAUUAUUUUAAGUGUAAAUUUUAUUAACUUGAGUAGUAAUAGAUAAGAUCUUGAAACUCAAAGAAUUUGGCGGUAUUUUAAUCUUUUCAGAGGAAUCUGUUCCGUUAUUGAUAAUACGCGUUUAUCUUACUUUUUCUUGUAAAUUCAAUUUGUAUACCGCCGUCAUCAGAUUAUCUUAUUAGGGAAAUAAUUUUCUAAAAUUUUGAAUAGGAAGUAUGUCAGGUCAAGGUGCAGUUUAUGAUAAAGUGGAAAUGGAUUACAAUAAAAUUAUUUAAAUGGAUUUAAAGUUGUAAAUAUUUUAAUGAAGGUGGAUUUGAAAGUAAACUUAAUAAUUUUAUUAAGUUGAUUUAAGCUCUAAAAUAUGUACACAUCGCCCGUCGCUCUU
rnacentral:rRNA from 1 species